rnacentral:rRNA from 1 species
UGGCGGCGUGCCUAUACAUGCAAGUCGAGCGGACAGAUGGGAGCUUGCUCCCUGAUGUUUAGCGGCGGACGGGUGAGUAACACGUGGGUAACCUGCCUGUAAGACUGGGAUAACUCCGGGAAACCGGGGCUAAUACCGGAUGGUUGUUUGAACCGCAUGGUUCAAACAUAAAAGGUGGCUUCGGCUACCACUUACAGAUGGACCCGCGGCGCAUUAGCUAGUUGGUGAGGUAACGGCUCACCAAGGCAACGAUGCGUAGCCGACCUGAGAGGGUGAUCGGCCACACUGGGACUGAGACACGGCCCAGACUCCUACGGGAGGCAGCAGUAGGGAAUCUUCCGCAAUGGACGAAAGUCUGACGGAGCAACGCCGCGUGAGUGAUGAAGGUUUUCGGAUCGUAAAGCUCUGUUGUUAGGGAAGAACAAGGACCGAUCGAAUAUGGCGGUACCUUUGACGGUACCUAACCAGAAAGCCACGGCUAACUACGUGCCAGCAGCCGCGGUAUACGUAGGUGGCAGCGUUGUCCGGAUUAUUGGGCGUAAAGGGAUCGCAGGCGGUUUCUUAAGUCUGAUGUGAAAGCCCCCGGCUCAACCGGGGAGGGUCAUUGGAAACUGGGGAACUUGAGUGCAGAAGAGGAGAGUGGAAUUCCACGUGUAGCGGUGAAAUGCGUAGAGAUGUGGAGGAACACCAGUGGCGAAGGCGACUCUCUGGUCUGUAACUGACGCUGAGGAGCGAAAGCGUGGGGAGCGAACAGGAUUAGAUACCCUGGUAGUCCACGCCGUAAACGAUGAGUGCUAAGUGUUAGGGGGUUUCCGCCCCUUAGUGCUGCAGCUAACGCAUUAAGCACUCCGCCUGGGGAGUACGGUCGCAAGACUGAAACUCAAAGGAAUUGACGGGGGCCCGCACAAGCGGUGGAGCAUGUGGUUUAAUUUGAAGCAACGCGAAGAACCUUACCAGGUCUUGACAUCCUCUGACAAUCCUAGAGAUAGGACGUCCCCUUCGGGGGCAGAGUGACAGGUGGUGCAUGGUUGUCGUCAGCUCGUGUCGUGAGAUGUUGGGUUAAGUCCCGCAACGAGCGCAACCCUUGAUCUUAGUUGCCAGCAUUCAGUUGGGCACUCUAAGGUGACUGCCGGUGACAAACCGGAGGAAGGUGGGGAUGACGUCAAAUCAUCAUGCCCCUUAUGACCUGGGCUACACACGUGCUACAAUGGACAGAACAAAGGGCAGCGAAACCGCGAGGUUAAGCCAAUCCCACAAAUCUGUUCUCAGUUCGGAUCGCAGUCUGCAACUCGACUGCGUGAAGCUGGAAUCGCUAGUAAUCGCGGAUCAGCAUGCCGCGGUGAAUACGUUCCCGGGCCUUGUACACACCGCCCGUCACACCACGAGAGUUUGUAACACCCGAAGUCGGUGAGGUAACCUUUUAGGAGCCAGCCGCCGAAGGUGGGACAGAUGAUUGGGGUGAAGUCGUAACAAGAGCCAUAAG